rnacentral:rRNA from 1 species
CCCUUAGGACGUGGAUACCCCCGAGAAAUUGGGGUUAAUCCGCGAUAGAUGUAAUGUCCUGGAAUGGUAUUACGUCUAAAGGUAUUUCAUACAUGUUUGAAAUAUGCCUAAGGAUGGGGCUGCGGCCGAUCAGGCUGUUGGUGAGGUAAUGGCUCACCAAACCUUUGACCGGUACGGGCCAUGAGAGUGGUAGCCCGGAGAUGGACACUGAGACAAGGGUCCAGGCCCUAAGGGGCGCAGCAACCGCGAAACCUCCACAAUGCACUCACGUGCGAUGGGGCUAUCUCGAGUGCCACCUGAUGAAGGUGGCUUUUCCUUGGUCUUCAAAGCCUUGGGAAUAAGAGGGGGGCAAGACUGGUGUCAGCCGCCGCGGUAACACCAGCCCCUCGAGUGGUGGGGAUGAUUAUUUGGCCUAAAGCGUCCGUAGCCGGCCGUGAAAGUCUUCCGUUAAAUCCAGCGUCUCAAGCGUUGGACCGCGGGAGAUACUACAUGGCUAGAGAGUGGGAGAGGUCAGCGGUAUUCUGGGGGUAGGGGCGAAAUCCUUUGAUCCCCGGAGGACCACCAGUGGCGAAGGCUGCUGACUAGAACACGUCUGACGGUCAGGGACGAAAGCUGGGGUAGCGAACCGGAUUAGAUACCCGGGUAGUCCCAGCCGUAAACGAUGCAUGCUAGGUGUUGGGUUGGCCACGAGCCACCCCAGUGCCGCAGGGAAGCCGUUAAGCAUGCCGCCUGGGAAGUACGAUCGCAAGAUUGAAACUUAAAGGAAUUGGCGGGGGAGCACCACCGGGCGUGAAGCCUGCGGUUUAAUUGGAGUCAACGCCGGG